UAUUCAUCUCAAAGUAGGCUGCA
rnacentral:siRNA from 1 species